CGUGUGAAAACGAAGGAAAAUAAAUGGAUUAGGGAAAAAUCAAGAAGAAGAAAAAGAAGAGAAAGAUGAAAAAACUCAGAGAAUUUCGGCAAGAGAAGAGGGAGAAGAAUAGACGGCAAAAUUUUUUUUGGAAAAGAGAGCCAAAAUUCGAUUAUGGGAAAAAAAAUUAAAAUAAAAUCCCGAUAACCCCCAAAAUCCCUUAAUCUUCUCCCUUAAUUCCCA
rnacentral:lncRNA from 1 species